rnacentral:lncRNA from 1 species
CCUUAGCCUCCAUCUUCAGGCAAGAAAGUCUGUGAUAUGAAUGAAGGGAUCAUAAAAGGCACAUGGAAUCAAAGCUUUUGGUCAACUGCCAACAAGGUACAGAGGCCCAACAGCAAUCAUCGAAUGAGCUUGGAAGUGGAUCCUCUCACCCCAGUUGAGCCUUCUGAUGACUGCAGCCCUGGCUGAUGCUUGACUACAACUUCAUCAGAAAUCCUCAUGAAGAUCCAGCACCUUCCAAUGAGAAAACCAAUGCUCCGAUGAGUGCAGUGACUUCCCAUGCCUGGUAAGUGGCAGAGCUUGGAUUGACC